UAUGAAGUUUCAUAUAUAAUUAUCCAGCCACUGACUAUUGCCAUGUUUAGCUUGUUUUUCACCCUGGUUGUGGGGCCUUGAUGGCAUCCGCCCUGUAUGUUCCUGUUACUUGAUUAAUUUUUGCUGAUUUGACAGUAUUCUACAUUUUUGUAACAGGAUGCAGCCAAAGUCAUAAAGAGCAUGAUCCAGAAAAAUCCUGACUCGCACAACUUCAAUGUAAUUGCAAUAUCAAAGAAAGUUUGAGAUGUGUUUUAGUUGACAACUAGACCUCCUGGGUGUCCUUUGGAAAUGGGUGAAAUGAUGUGGAUAUGUGGCAAUGGGACAAGGCCAGACAAACUGAGACAGCAGGGCAGAAUUGACUUUGCAUUUGUAGGAAAUCUGAUUUGUGCUCAGAGAAUACUAGCAUGGUUCAAGUGCAACCCAAACAUGAAUAUAGUGCAAUUUGAAUUUUUGGCAGCUA